rnacentral:rRNA from 1 species
AGGCUUGACAUAUCCAAAAAAUUUGCUAAAAUGUACAAAUCUUUGGACACUCCUCUGAGGUGGUGCAUGGUGGCUGUCGCUCCUCGUGUGAGAUGUUGGGUUAAGUCCCGCAACGAGCGCAACCCUCCUUCUAUGUUGUUGCCCGUAAUGGUGGGAACUCAUGGGAUACUGCUGGGGGCGAUCACAGGAAGGUGGGGAUGAUGACAAAUCAUCAUGCCGCUUAUUACUUGGGCUUCUACCAUGCUGCAAUGGUGGGUUAUAAGGGCUGAAAUAAACUGAGGAGAACCAAAUCACCUCAAGCCGGACCCAGUACGCAUUAACGUAUGCUGCUCCUCCUCUUCAAGACGGAGUAAUUAGUAAUCAUCGAUCAUCAAAAUGGUACGGAAAACAUUCCCGCAUGG